rnacentral:lncRNA from 1 species
GAACCCAUAACCACCAACUGGAGGCUUUUUUGCAGCAGGAAGAUUUUGAAAACUGCUAUCCCAUGCACACCCUCUGCCCCAUCCUCCAGAAGUGGAGUCUGCUUCCAAAGCCACUACAAGAAAGCCCAACAAACAAGGCUGCCAUUCCUGCUUUCAUCUCAAGUUGCCAACGGUGCCUAGGCACUGAGGAAGGAGUGCUUUCAGCUAGAUCCUCAGCUGGCUGGGGCUUCAUUUAGCAAAAUCACAACCUGGAACUGCAAACAGCAAUUCUCAGACAGAUCGUGGGGCCUUCAGCUUCAGAAGCAGUACAAGAUAUAAGUGUUAAUUUGUGGUUAAGGCGUAUUUAUCUGGAACAGCACUGAAGGGUGUCUUGGCCUUUCCUGUAGCACAGCACUGAAC